UCAGAUUUUAUGAGUGGAAUAGAGAGAGAGAGAGAGAAUGAAUAGAAACUCAUAUUCAUCUCCAUCUUCAUUUUUGCAACUCACGACAACCUCCACUAAAUCGGCCAUAACUUUCUGCUCACAACUCCAAAUUAGGCAAAAAUCAAGUUUGAAGAUUGCUGAUUCAUGCUGAAUGUGGAUAUGAGCGUGGUUACGAAUUUGAUGAAGAAGGAGGUGAAGUUUGACCAAGAGAAGAGUUCAAUGGCUGCAUGAGCUUCAUCUUAACCUCUAUUAAUCCAAGUUGCUACAAAUGCAAGAAUUAUGCUGCCUGAAGAAGAGGAUUUGAAAGACCAGAUGAAUAAUAUUGGUGGUGGAAUAGCUGAAGGAGGCGGUGGAAUAAAUGAACCCUGUUUUACUUACAAUCAUGAUGAAUACGGGUGUCAACCUAAAUUCGUAGUCCCUAAAAUCGAAGUUGAAGGAGGCGGUGGAAUAAAUGAACCUUAUUUUACUUACAAUCCUGAUGAAUACGGAUAUCAACCUACAUUCAUAGUCUCAAUUGUUGGUCAACCUUGAGUGAUAAGUUACUUAUUAUAGAAUUUACUUUUUUAAAUAAAUAAAAUAAU